AUGUCAGAGUGGUAAUUCAUGAUUAAAACUGGUAUGUGAUUACAUUACUGCAGGUUGCUGAGGGGUAGAUUCCACUCGUGGUAGCUAAAGGAGAGGAGAUAGCACGUUAUAAAGGACUUGAUCCGACAGAGCGUUUACUAAUGUUAAAAGCACUCUGUGAACUCCGAGCCGAUGUAUUUACUCCUUUGUCAUUAUUUUUUCUGUUUCUUAAUGUCAAGUGGUGUACAUACCGGAUAUCCUAGCUUUAUGUUACCAUUUGUUUUGGUAUUUUGAUGAGCCUCCUGCUAGCUAGUUUUAGUUUUUGCUUUAGUUAUAGGCAUGGUUAAUGCAAUGUGGACGCGUUUAUGUUUUCCGGCUUUAUGCAGUUAUAGCCACUUAGGCAAUGUUAAUUCUUAUGUAAAUGUUGGGAUGAAUAUUGCUGAUGAAUGAAAUGGCUUUUGGAAUCAA